AUGUAAAUGUUUCUGUUUUCCUGGAGCAGCUGCAGAACUUUUGUGACAAUACUUGACUGGAAUUCCACUUCCCCUUGUUUUUAGCUUGUCUCCAUGGUGAUGCAUUCGUUUUGCCUCAUGGUAAACUACUCUCUGGAAAUAUUUUCUACCAUUAGAACCAACCGCAAACCUUCACCAUUUCUGGCUAACCUGGACAUUCAGUGCCCCCUUAGAACCCAACUUUCCAUCCCAGCAUUAACAACGCGAACAAACUGUGUCUGCAUUUUUCUUUGAAUUGGUGGGGCAAAGGGGUCUUCAGUAAAGACAUUGUAGCAGUUGACACCGACCAGCAAGAGAAAGCUGUUCCUUCCGUAGUUAACUGGGAAGGCAUUCAGCAGGGCAAAAGGAAUUGGGAGAGUCACCUUGGUUGCACAUUGACUGAAUUAAAUUGCUAACAGUUCUACUGAAGCAGGUGCAUGAAGGUCGAGAGGGGCAGAGUUUAAAGCCCCUGCUAUCCCACCUAAGAUGAAAGGUCAUGAGUUGCCACCAUGUCGUUUCAAGUGAUGCAGGAUUGGAUCCAUCAGUAAUACCUUCUUACAUUGUCAAGUAUCUGUGAUUCACAUGCAACCUUGCAGCUAUUGACCAAACAUCUCAGAAAAGUCAGCUACCAAACCUUUAUUCCCCCAGAAAAAAAGCUGAUCACUCAAAAUAAACUCUUGAUGUGAAAAAGCAUAGUUACAAUGGUUUUGCAACUGAAGCUUUCGGAAUAUGUCACAACCUUAACUUGGAUUUUAUCUCAUAAACUUCUUCAAGAUGGAAGAGAAAGGGCAAAGCUGCAAAAAGUGGAUGUCUUUAUUAAACUAACCCCCGAGAAACAGCCAGAAGACAAUCAAACACAGCUGUCCCAUUUCUGCAACUACAACUGUACCUGAAGGUGAUGAUAAUGAUGGCCCUCUG